rnacentral:rRNA from 1 species
GUGGAGCAUGUGGUUUAAUUCGAAGCAACGCGAAGAACCUUACCAAAUCUUGACAUCCUUUGACCGCUCUAGAGAUAGAGUUUUCCCCUUCGGGGGACAAAGUGACAGGUGGUGCAUGGUUGUCGUCAGCUCGUGUCGUGAGAUGUUGGGUUAAGUCCCGCAACGAGCGCAACCCUUAAGCUUAGUUGCCAUCAUUAAGUUGGGCACUCUAAGUUGACUGCCGGUGACAAACCGGAGGAAGGUGGGGAUGACGUCAAAUCAUCAUGCCCCUUAUGAUUUGGGCUACACACGUGCUACAAUGGACAAUACAAAGGGCAGCUAAACCGCGAGGUCAAGCAAAUCCCAUAAAGUUGUUCUCAGUUCGGAUUGUAGUCUGCAACUCGACUACAUGAAGCUGGAAUCGCUAGUAAUCGUAGAUCAGCAUGCUACGGUGAAUACGUUCCCGGGUCUUGUACACACCGCCCGUCACACCACGAGAGUUUGUAACACCCGAAGCCGGUGGAGUAACCAUUUAUGGAGCUAGCCGUCGAAGGUGGGACAAAUGAUUGGGGUGAAGUCGUAACAAGGUAGCCGUAUCGGAA